rnacentral:lncRNA from 1 species
AGCCCGAAGUUUUGAUGUAGCUACACAAGUGCCUGGCCUCUACUGGUAUCCACUCAGGUAGGAUUUGGAACGUCUUCUCCUCACAAAUCUCACUCCAAAAAUUAGAUCUUUAUCUAAUUUGAAAGUACUUCAGAACUCCUUCUGAAGUUGGAGCAGCAGCCUGUCGAAGAUGUCCUGCAGCCUUCUAUUCCAGGCGUCACCAUGCCUUGGAUCUUUGCCAGAUGAAUGUCCAACUCUUUGGAUGUGAAGAGGG